CAAACAGUACGUGAAACCGUCAGGGGGGAAACGAACGAGGUUGGUGCAGUGCCCGCGCAGGUUCAAGCCCUGCCGAGGGUGCCAUCGCGGUGAUGAAAUCAUCCCGUGAUGUCCACCCGAGGCAGUGCCGUAUUCCUCGUGGGCACGGACCAGCAGCGGUUAGAGCGGAGCCACAAGGCACGGUGGAAGGUGAGUUGAUGCCGGCCUGUCCUGCAUUGACAGCUUAUAGCCCCGUUGUCCGGCGCUCCGGAUUGACCGAGGAAGAUGGGCAGCCAUUGCCCGACGCGGCACACGCCACACGGCGGGGCCCUCCGACACGAGUGAACCGUACGGUGUGGACUGCACGCAGUGCUAGCCGUGGCGGCGAUCUCGUGUCGGUGUGUGCCACUUGUGUGCCAGAGCUGCUGGUAUUCAGACGGCCUCGUCCGA
rnacentral:sRNA from 1 species